rnacentral:ribozyme from 1 species
UCCCUCUUGAAGGAUUAGCCUUGGGCGGCAUGCUGCCAUUGUAUUCAGUCCUUAUGUCAAGCGGCCCUUACAUGCAAGAGUCGCAUGUGAUGCGCAUGCAAACUAUUGUUAAGGCAAUGGCCAAGGCCGAAGAUAAGAACACCGGCUCUGUGAGUGUUCGUGAGUUGGCGGUCAACAUCGAGGAGUUUGAU